UCCGAGUUGACCCCGGCAGUCUCCUGCGAGUCCCCGCCAUUACGCGCUGGCAACACAGGACAAGGGUUGCGCUCGUUGCGGGACUUAACCCAACAUCUCACGACACGAGCUGACGACAGCCAUGCACCACCUGUAUACCGACCACAAGGGGGGCCGUAUCUCUACGGCUUUCCGGUAUAUGUCAAACCCAGGUAAGGUGGGGAUGACGUCCCAGUAUCGGAA
rnacentral:misc_RNA from 1 species